rnacentral:rRNA from 1 species
AACGAACGCUGGCGGCAGGCUUAACACAUGCAAGUCGAACGCCCCGCAAGGGGAGUGGCAGACGGGUGAGUAACGCGUGGGAACGUGCCCUUCGCUUCGGAAUAGCCCCGGGAAACUGGGAGUAAUACCGAAUACGCCGUAUUGGGAAAGAUUUAUCGGCGAAGGAUCGGCCCGCGUUAGAUUAGCUAGUUGGCGGUGUAAUGGACCACCAAGGCUACGAUCUAUAGCUGGUCUGAGAGGAUGAUCAGCCACACUGGGACUGAGACACGGCCCAGACUCCUACGGGAGGCAGCAGUGGGGAAUCUUGGACAAUGGGCGCAAGCCUGAUCCAGCCAUGCCGCGUGAGUGAAGAAGGCCUUAGGGUUGUAAAACUCUCUCGCCGGAGAAGAUAAUGACGGUAUCCGGAGAAGAAGCCCCGGCUAACUUCGUGCCAGCCGCCGCCGUAAGAC